UACGGGGGGGGCAAGCGUUGUUCGGAAUUACUGGGCGUAAAGGGCGCGUAGGCGGCCUUCUAAGUCGAACGUGAAAUCCCUGGGCUCAACCCAGGAACUGCGUCCGAUACUGGAAGGCUUGAAUCCGGGAGAGGGAUGCGGAAUUCCAGGUGUAGCGGUGAAAUGCGUAGAUAUCUGGAGGAACACCGGUGGCGAAGGCGGCAUCCUGGACCGGUACUGACGCUGAGGCGCGAAAGCCAGGGGAGCAAACGGG
rnacentral:rRNA from 1 species